rnacentral:rRNA from 1 species
UACGUAGGGUGCGAGCGUUAAUCGGAAUUACUGGGCGUAAAGCGUGCGCAGGCGGUUCGUUGUGUCGGCGGUGAAAGCCCCGGGCUCAACCUGGGAAUGGCCGUUGAAACUGGCGAACUGGAGUGUGGCAGAGGGGGGUGGAAUUCCGCGUGUAGCAGUGAAAUGCGUAGAGAUGCGGAGGAACACCAACGGCGAAAGCACUCUGCUGGGCCGACACUGACACUGAGAGACGAAAGCUAGGGGAGCGAAUGGG